UACGAAGGGGGCUAGCGUUGCUCGGAAUCACUGGGCGUAAAGCGCACGUAGGCGGCUUCUUAAGUCAGGGGUGAAAUCCUGGAGCUCAACUCCAGAACUGCCUUUGAUACUGAGGAGCUUGAGUCCGGGAGAGGUGAGUGGAACUGCGAGUGUAGAGGUGAAAUUCGUAGAUAUUCGCAAGAACACCAGUGGCGAAGGCGGGUCUCUGGCCCGAUACUGACGCUGAGGCACGAAAGCGUGGGGAGCAACAGGG
rnacentral:rRNA from 1 species